GCUUAUCACCAUUCCAGAUUGAAUAUACCCGAUCUCGUCUGAUCUCGGAAGUCAAGCAAUCUCGGGCUUGGUUAGUACUUGGAUGGGUGACGAAUUCCAG
rnacentral:rRNA from 1 species